rnacentral:tRNA from 1 species
AGCACAGUUGAAUUAGAGCAUGGUGCUGAUAACACCAAGAUCAUGGGUUCGAUUCCCAU